rnacentral:misc_RNA from 2 species
AAGAGUUGAGACUCCCCCGGGAGCCAUCUCCACCCUGUGCGAAUAUACUCUGUUGCUUUGGUGGGCCGUGGCCCUGUCCCCGCCGGCUUCGGCUGGCGAGCGCCCGCCAGAGACUUUACAUUCUGAUUUAUUUGACGUCUGAAUGCAAAAAUAAAUGCAAAA